ensembl:lncRNA HISLA HIF1A stabilizing long noncoding RNA
GUUAAACAAGUGCUUGAAGGCAGUAUGCUUGGUAAAAGUCAUCGCCAUUCUCUAAUCUUGAGUACCCAGGGACACGAUACACUGCGGAAGGCUGCAGGGACCUCUGCCCAGGAAAGCCAGGAUCCAGUAUCUGCCGGAGGAGCCCCACCUUCUGCUACUAUUAUGUUCUUCAGAUGAGUAGAAGAGAGUGGGGAGGGAGAGAGCAGGAAGAAGAAAGGAAGAAUAAUGUCUUGAAAUUGUUUUCUAAGGAUAAUGGUCUCCAGCUUCGUCAAUGUUCCUGCAAAGGACAUGAUGCUGACUUUGAAGAUGCAAGCUUCCACAUCUACAGCCUCAAGGAAACAAAUUCAGCCAACCAACUGAGGGAGCUUUCCUUGUCCUGCCUCAAGAUGAGAUCACAGUCUGCCCAACACCAUGAUUUAGGCCUUGUGACACCUGAGCUCAGAUGGAAAAGAAUGGUGUUACUGAGACCCUUCAAGAUUCCCAGUGUAAUUCAAUAAAGAAAAGGCAACACAAAGGGGUUGUAUAGAAUUCGCCACAUUAUGGACCCAUGUCAUAGAGAGAAUCCACGGUGCAUUUGUUAGCUGCAUUUAAAUGACAACACUUUCAGAUCCAAGAUUUAUUUGGGAUAAAAAUUUACCUGGAUGCAAGGCUAUUCAGAAUGAAGAUUAAUGAUAUGGUUUGGCUGUGUCCCCACCCAAACUUCAUCUUGAAUUCCCACGUGUUGUGAGAGGGACCUGGUGGGAGAUAAUUGAACCAUGGGGGCAGGUCUUUCUCAUGCUGUUCUCAUGAGAGUGAAUAAGUCUCAUGAAACCUGAUGGUUUUAUAAGGGGGAAUUUCCCUGCACAAGCUCUCUCUCUGCCUUUUGCCAUCCAUGUAAGACGUGACUUGGUCCUCCUUGCCUUCUACCAUGAUUAUGAGGCCUCCCCAGCCACGUGGAACUAUGAUGCAUAUCAUAAAUUAUUACUCACCCCAUGUUCCCACCCUCGAGAGACCUCCAAACAAUCACCAUGCCACAGUGAACAUUCAGUAACAAAAAUUCAGCCAGGGUUUUCACCAGCAUGAAUGGCAGUGAUUCCAAUCAGGAAAACAGAAAGAGGAGAGUUCAGAGCCACCUAGAAUGGCUCUUGCAAGAUACGAAAUCAAGGCAGCAGCAACAGGGCUGAACAUUCCUCAUCCCUAACUCUCCCUUCACCAGUAGGAAACCCAGGAUAACUGCAAUCACCGCAGGCCCAUCUGGCCUGAAGUUCUACUACUAGUAGCCCUCCAUGGGACCUUCUUAAGGAAGCAUGUCAACUCAGGUAAGGGAUGUAAGGGGAUGGAUGACCCUUUGAGGCCAAAGUUGGAGCAAAAAACACCAGAUGUUCCUGUGCACUGCUCCUAAGAGAUGGUUCUGAAGACCAGUUCGGGGAGAGGUCAAAAUACUGGACAGAAUCUCAGCAACAUGGAACCUCAAACUAAGUGACAGUCACAGACAACUCUUCCCCAAAGAAAAUAAGCACAGACAUGGUUUGUGGUAAGCAGAAUUAUAAAGAUGAAUUCCCAUCUCCCUGUCAGAUUACCAGUAUGGUAAAUUACCAGAUUACCUGGUUAUUUAUUCAAACACUAAUACAGUUAUUGCCUUGAUGGAAACAUACAGAUACAAUUAAAAUCCCAAGUACCAAAUAAAUUGACCUUAAGACAAAGACUAAGUAAAUCACAUGAGCCCUCUACAAGCAGAGAGUUUUUCUCCAGCUGGUAGCAGAAGCCAGAGAUUUGAAGCAUAGGAAGUAUUCAACACAUUAUUGCUGGCCUGAAAAUGGAAGGGGCCACAUAACGAGGGAAACCGGUGGCCUCUAGAAGCAGGGAGCAGUCCCCUGCUGACAGACAGCAAGCCAAGACCUCAGUUCUACAAUUGCAAGACACUCAAUUCUGCUAAGGACAAAAAUGAGCUUGGAAGUGAACUCUGAGCUUCAGGUGAGAACACGGCCAAACAACACCUUGAUUUCAGCUUAAACAAAGAAUGCAGCCACUCCAUGCCAGAAUUCUGACCUGUAGAAAUUUGAGCUAAUAAAUAGAUGUUUUAAUAGCUUCAUCGAUACAUA